rnacentral:rRNA from 1 species
CUUUUAAAGAUAGCGUAACAGCUCACUGGUCUAAUUAAGUUGUCCUGCGGCGAAGAUGUAACGGGGCUCAAGCCAUGAGCCGAAACUUCGGAUGCAUUUUUAAUGCAUGGUAGCGGAGCGUAGUGUGACAUAGUUCCAUGCGUCUUUAACUUCCUUCGGGGAGUAUUGGACGCAAGGAGCUUUCUGUGAAGCCGGCCUGUGAGGGAUCCGGUGGAGAGAUCACUAGUGAGAAUGAUGACAUGAGUAACGACAAAGGGGGUGAGAGACCCCCUCGCCGAAAAUCCAAGGGUUCCUGCUUAAAGCUAAUCUGAGCAGGGUGAGCCGGCCCCUAAGCCGAGGGCGAAAGCCGUAGGCGAUGGGAACCAGGUUAAUAUUCCUGGGCCAGGAGGAAGUGACGGAUCAUGAAGAUUGUUGGAUCAGGCGUAGUUGCCCCAGCAGUUAAUUGGUUCCUGGAAAUAGCCCUCCAUCAGACCGUACCCUAAACCGACACAGGUGGAUAGGUAGAGUAUACCAAGGCGCUUGAGAGAACUAUGUUGAAGGAACUCGGCAAAAUACCUCCGUAAGUUCGCGAGAAGGAGGCCCGGUUUCUAGGCAACUGGAAGCUGGGGGCACAAACCAGGGGGUGGCGACUGUUUACUAAAAACACAGGGCUCUGCGAAGUCGUAAGACGACGUAUAGGGUCUGACGCCUGCCCGGUGCCUGAAGGUUAAAAGGAGGGGUGAGAGCUCCGAAUUGAAGCCCAGGUAAACGGCGGCCGUAACUAUAACGGUCCUAAGGUAGCGAAAUUCCUUGUCGGGUAAGUUCCGACCUGCACGAAUGGCGUAACGACUUCCCCGCUGUCUCCAACAUAGACUCAGUGAAAUUGAAUUGCCUGUCAAGAUGCAGGCUUCCCGCGGUUAGACGGAAAGACCCCGUGCACCUUUACUACAACUUUACACUGAUAACAGGCACAAUAUGUGCAGAAUAGGUGGUAGGCUUUGAAGCAGGGACGCCAGUCCUUGUGGAGCCUCCUUUGAGAUACCACCCUUAUU